CGCGUCUNCCAUGCAGUUCGAACGAUGAACCACUUCGGUGGGGAUUAGUGGCGAACGGGUUGAGUAACACGUGGGCAAUCUGCCCUGCACUCUGGGACAAGCCCUGGAAACGGGGUCUAAUACCGGAUACUGACCCGCCUGGGCAUCCAGGCGGUUCGAAAGCUCCGGCGGUGCAGGAUGAGCCCGCGGCCUAUCAGCUUGUUGGUGAGGUAACGGCUCACCAAGGCGACGACGGGUAGCCGGCCUGAGAGGGCGACCGGCCACACUGGGACUGAGACACGGCCCAGACUCCUACGGGAAGGCAGCAGA
rnacentral:rRNA from 1 species